rnacentral:rRNA from 1 species
CCUACGGGUGGCAGCAGUGGGGAAUAUUGCACAAUGGGGGAGACCCUGAUGCAGCGACGCCGCGUGAGUGAAGAAGUAUUUCGGUAUGUAAAGCUCUAUCAGCAGGGAAGAAAAUGACGGUACCUGACUAAGAAGCCCCGGCUAACUACGUGCCAGCAGCCGCGGUAAUACGUAGGGGGCAAGCGUUAUCCGGAUGUACUGGGUGUAAAGGGAGCGUAGACGGCGGAACAAGUCAGAAGUGAAAACUCGGGGCUCAACCCUAGGAGUGCUAUUGAAACUGUUUGGCUGGAGUGCAGGAGAGGUAAGCGGAAUUCGUAGUGUAGCGGUGAAAUGCGUAGAUAUUAGGAGGAACUCCAGUGGCGAAGGCGGCUUACUGGACUGUAACUGACGUUGAGGCUCGAAAGCGUGGGGAGCAAACAGGAUUAGAUACCCCAGUAGUC